rnacentral:rRNA from 1 species
GACGAACGCUGGCGGCGUGCCUAAUACAUGCAAGUAGAACGCUGAAGGAGGAGCUUGCUCUUCUGGAUGAGUUGCGAACGGGUGAGUAACGCGUAGGUAACCUGCCUGGUAGCGGGGGAUAACUAUUGGAAACGAUAGCUAAUACCGCAUAAGAGUAGAUGUUGCAUGACAUUUGCUUAAAAGGUGCAAUUGCAUCACUACCAGAUGGACCUGCGUUGUAUUAGCUAGUUGGUGAGGUAACGGCUCACCAAGGCAACGAUACAUAGCCGACCUGAGAGGGUGAUCGGCCACACUGGGACUGAGACACGGCCCAGACUCCUACGGGAGGCAGCAGUAGGGAAUCUUCGGCAAUGGACGGAAGUCUGACCGAGCAACGCCGCGUGAGUGAAGAAGGUUUUCGGAUCGUAAAGCUCUGUUGUAAGAGAAGAACGAGUGUGAGAGGGAAAGUUCAU